CUUUCCUGUCCAGUCAGUGGUGCUCAACAGUGUUGGUAACGGGCAUUUUUUUUUUUUAAAGACCAGAACGGUUGUGAUGCCUCAUAGGCAAAGCAACCUCAGGGCCUUUCUUAGUAAGCCUGGCUAAGAAGCAAAGCCUUCCGUCCUGGACUCCUUGCUGAUGGACCCUACCUGCCCUUGGGGUUGGAGCUGAGGUGGUGCAGAGCCAACAACACAGACUCCCGGGAGCAGCAACUGGCCUCCCGGAGAGUGAAACUGGACUGAGGCAAAAACUGCCUAGCUCUCGGCUCUGGCUGCCAGAAUUCGUUCUCUACACUGACUGAAAUAGAUUAAGAAAAUUAUAUUUUCCAACCUUAUCCUCUCAAAAUAAAAGUACAUGCUACUUAA
rnacentral:lncRNA from 1 species